CCCCGGACGCCUAAAGAUUCUGCCUUUAAUGAUGUACCUGCAUCGUCCCCAUUAUCGCCUAUGCAAUCUCCCAAGGGCGAUCGCCAUGUUCAUUUUGCUGGAAUUCAUGUCAUGCAGAACAAUGACAACAAUAAUAAUAAUGGUAAUAACAAUGAUACAGAUGCAGAUAUCGAAGCACAUUCGAGCAAAGAUGAAACAGAGAAUUCUCAUAAUCCCACAACAGCAGAGAAAGUACUUGAGAGACCGAAUUCGUCAAAGGAAAGUGAAAUUCCUUUAAGACUCACUGUCUCACCUUGAUACAUAUUGUAACCAUACAGGAUCUGAUCUAUGAGGAGAAUGCUUCACGUAUCAGGGACUCAUGAUUUGCAGGAUGCAUAGUAAAAACCAGAACCAAUGUGAUUGCAGGCAAGGGAUGUUCUUGGUGAAUUAUUUCCUGUAAUUUUGAUUGAAAAUGAUCAUGUUGCAAUGAACAAAAAGGAGAGAGGAUUUCUAUUGCAUUAGCUGAAAAAGCAGGAGAGACACAUAUAUGCAUUCUGUAAGUACUUGUAAGGGUUCUAAAUCUAGAAAGGUUUUGGUCUAUGAUCAUGUGAAGAAAAUUAGUGAAAAGAGGAGAACCUUUUCUUGACUACUGUUUUUUCUUUAUGUUUUGGUUGUUUUGGCAUGCUAGAGGUACUAAAUCUUAUAAACAGUUUUCAUUUUCAUGGAUGAUAUCCUUUAAAUCUUCUUUUCAGUACAAAGAAUCUGCGUCCUACUUGGGGAACAACUAUGAUUUAUUCUCAGAACUAGAGUAGGGAAAGCAUCAGAGAUUUAAGAAAUAGAACAAUCAUAAAUGAAAGCAAAUAGAGAAUAAACCAGAAAGUUAGAACCAUGCUUUGAAAUAAUGGAAGAUAGAAGAUAGUCCAACAGAAUCUACGAUAUUCUUUAAGUCAGUAGCAUCAUAUGGAACUAAUUACAGUCAUACUAGGAAACUAGCAUAACAAUGAUGAUAUCAAAAAUUUCUAAAGCUGAUAAAUGUCAAAAUCUACCUAGUAAAUGUACCUAAAUACAUUAAAGAAAUCACUAAGCAAUAAUACAUAAGUACUCCUAAUAUGUAAACAAAUAGACAAAGAUGAUUUCUGAGUGAGAAUCAAAUCAAUCUGUGUUUCAUACUCAAUAUUUUGGGUGCACCUUCUUCUUUUUAACUUGACAAUUACAGUCCCNNN
rnacentral:lncRNA from 1 species